UACGAAGGGUGCGAGCGUUAAUCGGAAUUACUGGGCGUAAAGCGUGCGCAGGCGGUUUUGUAAGCCAGAUGUGAAAUCCCCGGGCUUAACCUGGGAAUGGCAUUUGGGACUGCAAGGCUGGAGUUUGGCAGAGGAGACUGGAAUUCCUGGUGUAGCAGUGAAAUGCGUAGAAUAUCAGGAGGAAUACCGAUGGCGAAGGCAGGUCUCUGGGCUGAAACUGACGCUCAUGCACGAAAGCGUGGGGAGCAAACAGG
rnacentral:rRNA from 1 species